GAUCAGAUACGCAUUUCGCAAUGCGUGUGUUUUCAUUUCUGGCGGGCGGAGGCGCCGAAACAAAUCACUUGAAAACAACGAAUCCCCUCAGCUCAUCACAGAUGUCUUCUUGUGGUUUCUUCUACUGUUACGAAGAGUGAAGUUGUGAACAGCAUCAGGAACAUCGGUGCUCCAGGCUAUCCGCUUCAUAGUUGCAGUUGAUGGAAGAUUCAUCAACUCAGACUUGACUUCACUCGUGCUGCGAUGGCCAUGGUUUUCGCAGCAUUUUUGAUAUAUGAUAUUUAUUACCCAUCAGAAGCUUCAGUCACAAUGGAAUUUAUGCAGAGGUGUUUCUGAAAAAUAAAUGCAGAAAAAGGGACAAAAAAUACCAGAACAAAGAAAAACGUGGCACACACCCAUUGAAGAAUAUUAAAGUUCAAUGAGCUUAUGGAAUAAGGAGUGAAAAAGCAUUCACACUCUUCUGUAUAAAUAAUUAAUGUUA